UCACCAGAUGCACUGAACUGCAGUGGUGAACGAGACUUGGGCACAAGCUGGGCCACCUCCUCCGGCCCCCAUCUCUCUACCCUUCCCUAUUUUCCCUUCCCCCAAGCACACAGUAGGAAAAUGAAAUGCAAAGAAACUUAAUUUAAAACUGAUUGAUCUUUACGAAAAGAGGAAUCAAGUUAUUACGAAAGAAGACAUGUAUCUAAAAGUGAAAAAUAUAUUUAUCAUCAAUGAGAACUGAAACCCAAGCAAUUUAUUUACAAUUUUGAUCAAGCAAACCAAUCAAAUUGCAUGAUCUGAAGAGGGUACACAUGACUAGGCGCUAGGAAAUAUAGGGAACAUUACACACACACACCACACACACACACGCACACACACACCACACACAUACACCACACACACAUACACACACCACACACACAUACACACCACACGCACACAAAAUACAUACACCACACACACAUCCAAUACAGCACACACACCACACACAUACACACAUACACACACACCACACACAUCACACACACAUAUACCACACACACAUACACCACACACACAUACACACACACACCACACAUACACACAUACACCACACACAUACAUAAUACACCACACACACACACACACCACACACACACAUACAGACACCACACACACACGGAUACACACCACACACACAUACACACACCACACACACAUAUACACACACAUACACACACACCACACACCACAUGUACUCAUACCACAUACACACACAUCACACACGUACACACACACCAAAUUCAGCACACACACACCACAUACAUGACAUACACGCAUGACACACACACACAUACACCACACACACAUCACAUACAUCACACACACCACACACACACACCACACACACACAUACACCACACACACACCACAUACAUCACACACACACCACACACACACAUCACACACAUACACACACACACCACACACACAUAUACCAGACACACAUACACCACACACACAUCACACAAUACACACACACACCCAAUACAGCACACACACCCACACCACAUACACACACACACUUCCCUAAACCAGAGAGGAAAGGGAGAUUCCCCAUCGCCCUUCUCCGCUAGCGUUGGCUUAAGGCCUGCGACAGGAAGUGUGGUCGGCAGACCAGCAGUGUCCGCCUCACCCGGGAGCUUGUCAGAAGUACAGAAUCCCAGGACCCACCCCAGAUCUGAAUCGGAAAGUGCGUUUUAACGCCAUUCCCCACGAGUCUCCUACGAGACAGUGAAGCUGUGGUACAGACAUUCACACAUACGGAAGAUAUAUUUCCGAUCCUUUGAAAGUUCAGGUGUAGGAGAGGUAAACGAAGAAAGAAGGCAUGGGGAACCUGGACAGGGAUAAAGAGAAAAGUGAUUAAGAGGGAUUCCGGCAAUGUUAGAAGCAAAAGAAAGAAAACUUCAUACUUGGCAGUUUUGCCAAAAAUUGGCUCUGGGCACCAGCCUUUUUAGUUGAAGCCAAGAGAAAUAUCAUCCAACUGUACGAUUUCAAAUAGUAAGUGCAGUGUUCUCUCCAACUCCACAGCUGGGGCAAGAUGGGAGGAGCUGGCCCGUCCCUGACAGACAGCUGGCCAGAAGCACUGGUUUAAGAAAUUAAUAACUGGCUUGGGAAGAAGGAGACAUAUUCACCAGUUCCUUUCCUUUGAAAGGACUUAGCGAAUUCUCUGCCACAAGAUUCACUUCCAGCCAUGGACCGCAAUGCUUAAGACACGGAGGUGGAGGAAAGAAAACCUGACUUCAGGAGAAGACGGAGUAAGGUCAGCAACUAGCACUGCUGAGAACAAGACACAUCUCUUCUCCGGGCUCUCGGACUCCUAGGCAGACUGUCCCUCCCAAUGAUGGACUUCUCACUCAGAAUCACCAGAUAACGGCAUGACAGGAAUGGGGGAGAGACCUGCACGGGCGUGCCUUCGCUGUGUCUUUUCUGGCUCACGCUUUUGUCCAGUGAUGAAACCAGCUGAGGAGAGGAGCGCAGCUGCACACCCCCUGGGCUGGUGAACACCACUGCUUUGGAUCGGUUUCUCUUCCAUGUGCAGAAUGUGUCUUGGCGACCCAGGAAAUCCAGGGCUCACGGCCAAACGCUGUGGUCCGGACACAGGGCCUCCACUCUGCCGAACAGCCGCAUUGACAAUACUGAAUUAGAAGUGGAGUCACAGGCAACGCGUCUCACUUGCCGCUCUCAGGGCUCUGGUGACGAGCUGCUAUUAAUCACUCGGAUCACAUCUAUCAGGCUUUUCUCAUCUGGCCAUGGCUCGUAGUCACAGAGGCAGAGCCAGGGUCUCCCGAUAAAUCAAAUCUAACAGUUGUGUGAUAAGGAUGACACAGGUGAACGGGGGACAAAAAUGUACAAUCUGAGCCUUAUGUCCGCACAGCUAAAACCAUGGGGGAAGGAAAGGAAGAGAAUUUCCGCUCGGUGCCAGCCACGUGCCAGAGUCUACUCACUUCUCUCUCUGUUUCUGUGUGUAUUUCUCUGUCUCUAACUCUACCAUCUCUCUCUCUCCAUCUAUACGACCUCCUUAAAUCUCUGCCAUAGCCCUGCGUGGAAGUUCGUGUUAUCCUUCUUUACAGAGAGGUUCAGCAGUGUGCCCAGGGUCACACAGUUUGUAAGCAGUGGAGCCAGUAUGUAGGCAUGCAAGUCUAAGAUAGUGACAGAAAAAAAAAAAAAAAAACAGAGAGGAAGAGAGACAGCAGGGAAUUGAGUCAGAGACCACAGAGGAGAUCAAAAGGGAAAGAAGAAAAGACAGGGAAAAAAAGAAUAAGAGGAAAAGAAGGCCAGGAGCAGAAAGCAAACUGCCUUGGGAACCAGAAUUCCUGUACUGGGGUUCCAGCUCUGCUGCUUACAGCUGGGUGACUUGGUGCAAAUCAUAUAACUACAGUUUCUUAGCCUGUAGCGUGAGGUUAGUAAUAUCCAGCCAACUCCUUACUGGUUUGUGUGAGGAGCAAAUAAAAGUCUGUGUGAGAAGUUCUAUGCAAAGGUGGAAAAGCUGUAUGAAUGGAAGCUAUCCCAAGUUGUGUUUUAGAGUUCUAUCUGUAUCAGUCAUGUGGGCAGAAGAGAAUGGAAAGGCCAGGCCCUCGGUAUGAAGUGCAUGAGAGCAGCUGCCAAAUGGUGAACGAAGCCGCGGGGAGCUUCUGCUUCACGUUUGAAGCCAACUUGUGUGGGAGCCCAGCAAGCCUUGUUCUGUGUGGAGGCGAGCUUUGUAGGUAGAGGGGGCCCUCCUGAUUCCGGUAAGUGGCUCCAGGUGGAGACAGCAGAGGUCUGAGCCUACUGGUCAUUUUUUCACUGAGGUUUUGAACAGUGGAAAUCCUUUCUCCCAAAUAAAUCAUGCAUCCAGAUCGGGAGUAAUCACCCCCUUUCUUCCUGGGCCACGAGGAUGGUGUCAUUGAAUUGUCCAACAUUUGUGUUUAUGCUUUUAUGGAUGACAGCCUGGAAGACAGCAAGAAGUGACAAUGUGCUGAGUGCUUCCCUAGAAGAGUGUGGAGAUAUGGGAGGGAGAAAGUGGAAAUUUUGAGUAUAGAGAUUCCAUUCAGGAACCGAGAAGCAAGUAAGCUUUUUAGUGAAACAAGAUCCAGAAAGAAGAAAUCAGAGAGGGAUAAGUUAGUUAGAGACGCCUCUUUUGUAUUUUUGUCCAGGGCAGAGUGCCAGAGAUGAGAAAGGCUGAUAUAGGUAGUUUCUUUGAGGUGAGGACCAUGAGGUGGUUCUGACCACGGAAGCCAGGGCAGUCUUCUCUGGCCUGAACCAGAAGGCCAGACUGAUUUUAUUAAUUUUGCCAAACUAAAAAAAAAAAAAGAGAACAACAAAUCUGCAUUUAUAAAACCCACCUGCUUAGUAUGCACCUUGAAAUUUCAGAUUUCUCCUGUGCUACAGCACAGAGGAGAAAGGCCCAGGCCAAAGGUGGGGCUCCUGGGAGGAGGAAAGCAGAGCCCUCCUCACUCUUUCCUUUCAAGUCGCAGGGAUGGUGCAGUAAGAAAGUGAUGUUCCCAGAGACAUCACGCCCUGAUCCCCAGGCCUGGGAAUGUUACCUUACUUGGGAAAAGGGUCUUCGGAGAUGUGAGCAAGGAUGCGGAGAUGAGGAGCACUUCCAGGAGUAUGCGUGGACCCUAAACACCAUCACAAGGGUCCUUAAUAAGGAGAAGAGGGAGAUCUGACAGACACUGGGAAGAGGGGAAGGAAAUGUGGAGGUGGAGGCAGAGGCUGCAGUCAUGUGGCCUCAAGUCAAGGCAGGCAGGCAGGUAGAUGACAGUUCUCCACGGCCUCGGCAGGCAGUGCAGCCCUGCUGACACCCUGAGUUCUUUCUUUCGGUCUCGGAGCUAUGAGAGAAACAUUUUUGUUGUUUUAAGCCACCAAGCUUGUGGUAACUUGUUACAGCAGCUCUAGGAAAUGACUAUAGUAAUGGGAAAAAGUUACCCAGCGGCGGAGACAACUCUGGGUCUUCUCUUAUAGGCCCAGGACGGGGACCAUUUGCCAGAGCCAGGCAGGCAGUGAUACCAACCAGCGCUCACUCUGUGCAGAGGCCCAUGUGGAGUUCAGAGGGAGGGGACCACAAGCCCACGGAAAGAGGUGGAUGACACUCUCCUGGGGUCAAGGAAAUAGAAGUAUACAAUAAAAGACGUACACACAGGACCUUAUCCAACCCUAACCCCCAGGAAAGCUGGACAAUGAAGCUCAGAGAGUUACCCAUGAGAGGACUCAGUUCAAUCUGGGUAUGAAUCCCAGCUCCACCAUUCGGUUGCUGUGCUCUCUGUCCUCCCAGACUCCACUUUCCU